AUUGAACGCUGGCGGCAGGCCUAACACAUGCAAGUCGAGCGGAUGAGUGGAGCUUGCUCCAUGAUUCAGCGGCGGACGGGUGAGUAAUGCCUAGGAAUCUGCCUGGUAGUGGGGGACAACGUUUCGAAAGGAACGCUAAUACCGCAUACGUCCUACGGGAGAAAGUGGGGGAUCUUCGGACCUCACGCUAUCAGAUGAGCCUAGGUCGGAUUAGCUAGUUGGUGAGGUAGGCUCACCAAGGCGACGAUCCGUAACUGGUCUGAGAGGAUGAUCAGUCACACUGGAACUGAGACACGGUCCAGACUCCUACGGGAGGCAGCAGUGGGGAAUAUUGGACAAUGGGCGAAAGCCUGAUCCAGCCAUGCCGCGUGUGUGAAGAAGGUCUUCGGAUUGUAAAGCACUUUAAGUUGGGAGGAAGGGCAGUAAGCUAAUACCUUGCUGUUUUGACGUUACCGACAGAAUAAGCACCGGCUAACUCUGUGCCAGCAGCCGCGGUAACAC
rnacentral:rRNA from 1 species